rnacentral:misc_RNA from 1 species
GGAAUAUUCUCUGGUGAUACAUCCCAGGCUGUUCCCCUGAAUAAUUGCGCUGUGUUUCCGUUUGAAACACAGGCGACCGACACUCUGCGCCUCUUAAGCGCGCGACAACCGUGAGGUUGGCGACGUGAACCAGACACGAGGCCAUCGGUUU